rnacentral:rRNA from 1 species
UCCGCGGCCGCAGAGUUUGAUCAUGGCUCAGAACGAACGCUGCGGCAGGCCUAACACAUGCAAGUCGAACGCUCGUAGCAAUACGAGAGUGGCAGACGGGUGAGUAACACGUGGGAACCUUCCCUAUGGUUCGGAAUAGCUCAGGGAAACUUGGGGUAAUACCGGAUAAGCCCUUCGGGGGAAAGAUUUAUCGCCAUUGGAUGGGCCCGCGUCGGAUUAGCUAGUUGGUGAGGUAACGGCUCACCAAGGCAACGAUCCGUAGCUGGUCUGAGAGGAUGAUCAGCCACACUGGGACUGAGACACGGCCCAGACUCCUACGGGAGGCAGCAGUGGGGAAUAUUGGACAAUGGGCGCAAGCCUGAUCCAGCCAUGCCGCGUGAGUGACGAAGGUCUUCGGAUUGUAAAACUCUUUUGGCGGGGACGGAUAAUGACGGUACCCGCAGAAUAAGC